AUGCAGUACCACCUUGUCUGCUGGAACAUUUACCUUUUGGAACUCCCAGCCUUCCUGUGAGAAGUUCCACUGCCUGAGGCUGGCAUUUUGUGAGAAAGCCCAAGACAGACAGAGAGACCCUUUGAAGGUAAUACUGAUCAACAGUCACAGCUGAGCCCAGGCUUUGAGUCAGCCCAGCCUAGGUGCCAGUCACGUGAGCUGAGAAGCUGAUUCCAGCUCCUAGCCAUUCUCGCCGCUCAGCCAUUUGGGUCAUCCCAGCCGAGGCCCUCAUCAUGGCCAGAGACAUACAAUGCCUGCUCUGCCUUGUCCUAAGUCCUGACCUGAAGAAUUCAUGAGGGGUCUUGCUGUGUUGACCAAGUUGGAGUGCAGUGGCAUGAUCUCAGCUCAUUGCAACCUCUGCCUCCUGAGUUCAAGCAUUCUCCUCUCUCAGCCUCCCAAGUAGCUGGGACUACAGGCAUGUACCACCACACCUGGGUAAUUUUUGUAAUUUUUUAGUAGAAAUGGGGUUU
rnacentral:lncRNA from 1 species